ACAUCUCAACUCCUCACGGUUCGCCCGUGAUGAGCUUGGACUUUGGGGGUCUUGCCGGCCUGCAGGUCGGCUCCUCUCAAACGAAUCAGCUUGCCGGUGUUUGGUGGCGUCACGGGUGUGAUAACUAUCUACGCUUGUGGCUUUCCGCCAGGUAACCUCCAGCGAUGGGGGUUCACUGGAGCUCACAAACGUCUCUCCUCGGUGAGGACAGCUCUUUGAAC
rnacentral:misc_RNA from 1 species